AUGAUAUUGAGCAUGUCUAUUAUGAUGAGGACAAAGAAUUCAAUAUCGAAUGUGAGAAGACUACGAGGAAUCUUAGUGUCAUGGCAAAUCUUUGAAAUUACGUAUCCGGAAGAAAAGAAUGGAUUCUUGAUAGUGGAUGUACCGAUCACAUGUACCGAUCACAUGACCGGAGCUAAAAAUGAUGGUCCACUCAAGUAUGUGACUUUUGGAGAUAACUCCAAGGGUAAGGUACUUGGCCUUGGUAAGGUGGGUAUAUCCAAUGAUAUCUCUAUUCGAAAUGUUAUGCUCAUUGAAUCUCUUGGUUACAAUCUUCUUUCCGUAUCUAGACUAGCUGACUUUGGUUUCAAUGUUCUAUUUACCGAAGUAGAUUGCCAAGUGUUUCGUCGAGAUAAUCAUAAUAUGGUCUUUACCGAAAUUCAUAGAGGGGAUCUAUAUAUUGUUGAUUUCACUAAGAGAGCCCAACCUCGUACUUGUUUAAUUGCAAAAUCUUCUAAUGGUUGGUUAUGGCAUAGAAGGUUAGGACAUGUUGGCAUGCGAAAUCUUGAUAGACUCAUUAAAGGUGAUCAUAUUCCUUGGUAUUAA
rnacentral:rRNA from 1 species